rnacentral:lncRNA from 1 species
AAAAUUGUUAAAAGCCAGUAUGGCUACAGGAGGUGGACCUUUUGAAGAAGGCAUGAAUGAUCAGGGUUUACCAAACUGGAGCAGUGAUACUGUUGAUGACCGACUCAACAAUAUGGAUUGGGGUGGCCAACAGAAGAAGGCAAAUAGAUCAUCAGAAAAGAAUAAGAAAAAGUUUGGUGUAGAAAGUGAUAAAAGAGUAACUAAUGAUAUUUCUCCGGAAUCAUCACCAGGAGUUGGAAGGCGAAGAACAAAGACUCCACAUACAUUUCCACAUAGUAGAUAUAUGACUCAGAUGUCUGUCCCAGAGCAGGCAGAAUUAGAGAAACUUAAACAGCGGAUAAACUUCAGUGAUUUAGAUCAGAGAAGCAUUGGAAGUGAUUCUCAAGGAAGAGCAACAGCUGCUAACAACAAACGUCAGCCUAGUGAAAACCGAAAGCCCUUCAACUUUUUGCCUAUGCAGAUUAAUACUAACAAGAGCAAAGAUGCUGUUACAAGUCUUCAAAAGAGAGAAAUGAUUGGGUCAGCACAAUGUAAAGAGUUGUUUGCUUCUGCAUUAAGUAAUGACCUGUUGCAAAAUUACCAAGUCUCUGAAGAAGAUGGGAGAGGAGAGCCUGCAAUGGAGAGCAGCCAGGUAAUAAAAUGUAUUGUGCUUGUUUUCACAAACCUGAAAAGUAUAAACAUUAAGAUUUUAAGAUUAUAUUAGGUUAUACAUAUAGGAAUUUUAUUUACAUAUAAGUAAAGUAUUUUCUUGGCCCUCUUC